UACAGAGGUGGCAAGCGUUGUUCGGAAUUACUGGGCGUAAAGGGCGCGUAGGCGGCGCGGGUAGUCAACGGUGAAAGCUCAGGGCUCAACCCUGAGUCGGCCGUCGAUACUCCCGUGCUUGAGCACUGUAGAGGCAGGUGGAAUUCCGGGUGUAGCGGUGGAAUGCGUAGAGAUCCGGAAGAACACCGGUGGCGAAGGCGGCCUGCUGGGCAGUAGCUGACGCUGAUGCGCGACAGCGUGGGGAGCAAACAGG
rnacentral:rRNA from 1 species